rnacentral:misc_RNA from 1 species
CCGGCCGCGUCCAUCUCCUCCCGCAGGAUCUUCUCGAUCUUGCCGAUAGACCGCCUUGCCAGCGGCAGAUACGAGAAGAUCCCCGCCGCCAGUUGCCGGAUGAACCCGGCCCUGAGUAGCAGCCUGUGGCUGGCAACCUCCACGUCCGAAGGCGCCUCGCGUAACGUCCGUCCGAACAUCGUGCUCAUGCGCAUGGCGAACAGGCUACAGGCUACAGGUUUCAGGCUUCAGGACUGCCAGUGGGGCGUACCUGUCCACCCGCCAACCUUCGUCUCUUACCUGACGAUCUAACACACCC